GACGAACGCUGGCGGCGUGCUUAACACAUGCAAGUCGAACGGAAAGGCCCUGCUUUUGUGGGGUGCUCGAGUGGCGAACGGGUGAGUAACACGUGAGUAACCUGCCCUUGACUUUGGGAUAACUUCAGGAAACUGGGGCUAAUACCGGAUAGGAGCUCCUGCUGCAUGGUGGGGGUUGGAAAGUUUCGGCGGUUGGGGAUGGAUUCGCGGCUUAUCAGCUUGUUGGUGGGGUAGUGGCUUACCAAGGCUUUGACGGGUAGGCGGCCUGAGAGGGUGACCGGCCACAUUGGGACUGAGGUACGGCGCAGAAGCCUACGGGAGGCAGCAGUGGGGAAUAUUGCAGAAUGGGCGGAAGCCUGAUGCAGCAACGCCGCGUGCGGGAUGAUGGCCUUCGGGUUGUAAACCGCUUUCGCCUGUGACGAAGCGGGAGUGACGGUAAUAGGUAAAGAAGCACCGGCUAACUACGUG
rnacentral:rRNA from 1 species